GACAGCAGGGGGAGCAAGAUGAAGUCACAGACCCAGGUCCUCAUAUCCCUGCUUCUAUGGGUGUCUGGUACCUGUGCAGAUAUCACGAUGACUCAGUCUCCAUCCUUUCUGGCUGUGUCAGCAGGAGAGAAAGUCACUAUCAGCUGCAGGUCCAGUCAGAGUCUUUUAUCCAGCAAAGACCAAAAGAACUACUUGGCCUGGUACCAGCAGAAACCAGGGCAAUCCCCUAAGCUGCUGAUCUACUAUGCAUCCACUCGGCACACUGGGAUCCCUGAUCUCUUCAUCGGCAGUGGAUCUGGGACAGAUUUCACUCUCACCAUCAGCAGUGUACAGGCUGAAGACCUGGCAGAUUACUACUGUCAGCAGCAUUAUACUGCUCCUCACACAGUGCUUCAGCCUCCAACACAAACCUCCUUGAGAGUCUCACCAGCUGCCUGCACCACACACAGCCAUGGUUGUGCACACUUCCCCUUCAUCGUGAUAGCAGGUGUGGCUGAAAACAUGAUGAAAAAGUUUGCAGAUCCUCUUACAAAAUUAUGGGUUCAAUAAUUCUGACGUCUUUUUCUAAGAGAAACCUUUAUAUGAAAAUGCAAAAAAGAACUCAGCAUUAUCUUUUUAUUUCUUCUG